GGCUAUUCGAGGACUGCCUGCCGACACC
rnacentral:sRNA from 1 species